CGGGGGGACCGGGAUCCCAAGGUCGGCACCCUCCGAGCCCACGGCGGGUUUCCCCGCGCCCUGAAAGCCUCGGGGCGCGAAACCGUGAAUGUACACCCGCACAACCACCGGGGUUUGAAACUCUUCAUCGCACAAUUAGUAACGCCGCGAUUUUCUUUUCCCACUCGUAAUUUCGCUGUCCGACAUACCCACGGCUACACCCGCGCAAUAUCCGUGUUCUCCUUGUGCCGCAGCAGCUCUGGCGCGCCUGCAGCGGCACACGGUGAGUGAAAUGGGAGUGAAAAUCAACCCCUCAGGAGUGCUGCGAUGCACAGUGCCACACUGCCUGGAGAUAUUUUUGUCCUGCAGACUCGGAUAAUGAUACAAGAAGCAGAGGUUAAACAUAUCUCCUCCUCAUGCCUGUGGCACGCAAGACCUCUGCGGCAGGACUGCUGUGAGGUUUGCCUUGGAAAGGCAUCCUGGGGGAGCCACAUGGCCACGGCAGAGGCAGCAGCCAUGGACACCCUCCCUGGGAGGCACGGACUUGGCUGGAGCUGGGCACCGAGCCCCUCCCGUGGUGUGACCCGUGACAUUCAGAGCACAGCGGGCAUGGAAGCCACACCUCGGGCCGGUCACAGCCCCACAGGGGCUGGGCACGAACAGGAUCCUCAGCUCCUGCAGCACAGGAACGGGGGCUUUCCAACUGCUCCCAGGGCAGGGAGCUGUGUGAGGAGCCCCCACCUCCUGACAGAGCCCGACGCCUUUCCAAAACUCUGAUCCACUUCGGAGUUCUGCCUCCUAAUUUAGUGGCCAAGCGAAGUGAGCUGCCCAACAAUGUUUUAUUUCCCAGCAGAUCCAUUUCCUGGUUAGCUAAUCUCAAAAGCCAGCGCUGUUUCCCCUCGCUAAACGGACUGAUUUGUUUAUUUGAGUGAAUUACUUGACUUACUAAAUCUCACCCUUGUCCUGGCAGCAUCGCUAUGUAGUGCUUUGUUUUAUCUGUUAACUGUUGAAUCACAAUACAAUUAGUUAUUUUCCCACAGCCCAAGAGGGCUGAAUCUCUUUAGCAACAAAUUAAAUCCAGAUAGUGCAGGGAGUUCCUGUAAUAAAGUCUUUCUUUGUGUUUAAGAAAAUACAAUAAAAUAUUUCUUGAAAGCUCAGA